rnacentral:misc_RNA from 1 species
GGAAGGAUCAUUAACGAAGCCAUUUUGGCAUCAUUCUUUCAUUCUGUGAACUUAUCUUUGCUUUGGGUGGUUGAUUUUGAUAAUCCAAAACUGGCCACCCAAAAUUUUAAACACUUUUAUUUUGAAUUGUCUGAACGAUUAAAAAAUAAAUUAAUCAAAACUUUCAACAACGGAUCUCUUGGUUCUCGCAUCGAUGAAGAACGCAGCAAAACGCGAUAUGUAAUGUGAAUUGCAGAAUUUUGUGAAUCAUCGAAUCUUUGAACGCACAUUGCGCCCUUUGGUAUUCCAAAGGGCAUACCUGUUUGAGCGUCAUUUCUUUCUCAUUCUGAAUGGUUUUGUGUGUAUUUCUUGUAUGACAAGAUCACACUAAAUUAAAUGGCAUGAUUGUUAUCUGUGAAAGCGUUUUAGGUUUAACAACUACGUGAUCUAAAUAACAUUGGUCAGGCCUUUAUAACCCCCAAAUCAAAAAUUUGACCUCAAAUCAGGCAAGAAUACCCGCUGAACUUAAGCAUAUCAAUAAGCGGAGGAAAAGAAACCAACCGGGAUUGCCUUAGUAACGGCGAGUGAAGCGGCAAAAGCUCAAAUUUGAAAUCUGGCACUUUUGGUGUCCGAGUUGUAAUUUGAAGAAAGUAACUUUUGGAAUGAGCCUUGCAUAAGUUCCUUGGAACAGGACGUCAUAGAGGGUGAGAAUCCCGUAUAUGGUGGGGUAAUCAUUUCAAUGUAAAGUGCUUUCGAAGAGUCGAGUUGUUUGGGAAUGCAGCUCUAAGUGGGUGGUAAAUUCCAUCUAAAGCUAAAUAUUGGCGAGAGACCGAUAGCGAACAAGUACAGUGAUGGAAAGAUGAAAAGAACUUUGAAAAGAGAGUGAAAAAGUACGUGAAAUUGUUGAAAGGGAAGGGCAUGAAAUCAGACUUGGUAUUCAGUGAUCAGCAAUCUCUUGUGGGUUGUGCACUUGCUGUUUACUGGGCCAGCAUCGGUUUUGACGGUGGGAUAAUGACAUUGGAAUGUGGCUUCCUUCGGGGAGUGUUUAUAGCCUUUGUUGAUAUCACCAGUUGAGAUCGAGGACCGCGCAAUUUUUUGCUAGGAUGCUGGCGUAAUGAUUUUAAGCCACCCGUCUUGAAACACGGACCAAGGAGUCUAACGUCUAUGCGAGUGUUUGGGUGUAAAACCCGUACGCGUAAUGAAAGUGAACGUAGGUGAGGGCCCUUUUGGGGGUGCAUCAUCGACCGAUCCUGAUGUUUUCGGAUGGAUUUGAGUAAGAGCAUAGCUGUUGGGACCCGAAAGAUGGUGAACUAUGCCUGAAUAGGGUGAAGCCAGAGGAAACUCUGGUGGAGGCUCGUAGCGGUUCUGACGUGCAAAUCGAUCGUCAAAUUUGGGUAUAGGGGCGAAAGACUAAUCGAACCAUUAACGGUAUUACUACUACUAGGUGGUUAAGAGGCAUACGACGCAGUAUGUCUAGUCGUGUUUACACGGCGAGAUCAUCAAAUUGCUGGGACACCCUAAAGACAACAGUACUAAGCCGACUGGAAACGGUUGGUGGAGUAGUAGCGACUACUGAGUAAUAAUCUGUUGUAUGUUACAAUGGGCAAUCAGCAGCCAAGUCCUGCCCUUCAGUACUGUAGUAAUGGAGAUGGACGCAGUUCAGAGACUAAAUGGUGGUCGGCACCUCUGGCAGGGGUGCUUAAGAUAUAGUCCAAUCCCAACCGAAAGGUUGAUUGUAGACAAAGUGUUGAAUGCAACACCCGAACCUACAAUGUAAGGUAGAAAUGCUAGUAGCUGGUUCCUGC